GUAGGGUGCAAGCGUUAAUCGGAAUUACUGGGCGUAAAGCGUGCGCAGGCGGUUUUGUAAGUCUGUCGUGAAAGCCCCGGGCUCAACCUGGGAAUUGCGAUGGAGACUGCAAGGCUUGAAUCUGGCAGAGGGGGGUAGAAUUCCACGUGUAGCAGUGAAAUGCGUAGAGAUGUGGAGGAACACCGAUGGCGAAGGCAGCCCCCUGGGUCAAGAUUGACGCUCAUGCACGAAAGCGUGGGGGGAGCAAACAGGAUUAGAUACCCUGGUAGUCCACGCCCUAAACCGAUGUCUACUAGUUGUCGGGUUUUAAUUAACUUGGUAACGCAGCUAACGCGUGAAGUAGACCGCCUGGGGAGUACGGUCGCAAGAUUA
rnacentral:rRNA from 1 species